CCUACGGGAGGCAGCAGUGGGGAAUAUUGCACAAUGGGGGAAACCCUGAUGCAGCAACGCCGCGUGAAGGAAGACGGUUUUCGGAUUGUAAACUUCUGUUCUUAGUGAAGAAUAAUGACGGUAGCUAAGGAGCAAGCCACGGCUAACUACGUGCCAGCAGCCGCGGUAAUACGUAGGUGGCAAGCGUUGUCCGGAAUUACUGGGUGUAAAGGGAGCGCAGGCGGGAAGCCAAGUCAGCUGUGAAAACUACGGGCUUAACUUGUAGACUGCAGUUGAAACUGUUGGUCUUGAGUAUCGGAGAGGCAGGCGGAAUUCCUAGUGUAGCGGUGAAAUGCGUAGAUAUUAGGAGGAACACCAGUGGCGAAGGCGGCCUGCUGGACGACAACUGACGGUGAGGCGCGAAAGCGUGGGGAGCAAACAGGAUUAGAUACCCUAGUAGUC
rnacentral:rRNA from 1 species